GCCCAUUCGGUGUUGGGGGUUUAGCUCAGUUGGUAGAGCGCCUGCUUUGCAAGCAGGAUGUCAGGAGUUCGAG
rnacentral:tRNA from 1 species